rnacentral:rRNA from 1 species
GACGAACGCUGGCGGCGUGCCUAAUACAUGCAAGUCGAACGAAGUGGGGACGGGUGAGUAACACGUGGGUAACCUCCCAUCAGGUGGGAUAACACUUGGAAACAGGUGCUAAACCGAUAAUGCUGGAGGGACGCGCGGUGAAUUAGCUAGUUGGUGAGGUAACGGCUCACCAAGGCCACGAUGCAUAGACGACCUGAGAGGGUGAUCGGCCACACUGGGACUGAGACACGGCCCAGACUCCUACGUGAGGCAGCAGUAGGGAAUCUUCGGCAAUGGACGAAAGUCUGACCGAGCAACGCCGCGUGAGUGAAGAAGGUUUUCGGAUCGUAAAACUCUGUUGUUAGAGAAGCGGUAUCUAACCAGAAAGCCACGGCUAACUACGUGCCAGCAGCCGCGGUAAUUC